rnacentral:rRNA from 1 species
GUGUCAGCAGCCGCGGUAAUACAGGGGGGGCAAGCGUUGUUCGGAAUUACUGGGCGUAAAGGGUCUGUAGGUGGCCAACUAAGUCAGACGUGAAAUCCCUCAGCUUAACUGGGGAACUGCGUCUGAUACUGGAUGGCUUGAGUGUGGGAGAGGAAUGCGGAAUUCCAGGUGUAGCGGUGAAAUGCGUAGAUAUCUGGAGGAACACCGGUGGCGAAGGCGGCAUUCUGGACCACAACUGACACUGAGAGACGAAAGCCAGGGGAGCAAACGGGAUUAGAAACCCGCGUAGUCC